CAGGGGUUUUCCUUUUUUUUAAUAUUAGAACAUAUUCUUCAGAUGGUAUUUGUUCAUACGUUGGCUGAAAUACUGCCAUGGAACAUAAUCUGGUGUGAUGAGAGGCUAUUGCCCACCUCCUCCUGCUGUGGACUCUGCAGACACAUAAAUAUCAUUCAGAUCUUGGAGAAAGCUGCUUUUACAGGCUUUGCUCUAUAAAUAGGGAUAGUGGAAGCAUUGCCCUGGAAACCUGUUAGCUUAUACUCUUGGGCCUUUUUAUAACUCCAGUGAGACAAAGACCCACCCCCAGAGUUGUGAUUAUUUUUGUAUAUGCCACCUAGUUCAUAGUUACCCACUAGUAGGAUCCAGUGAUGUUUCUGCAUCAGAGUGAAGGAAUUUCUAAAUGAGAGCAAACUCUCUGCCAUGCAUUGACAUCGGGGUUCUAUAGAAGUCGUCAGAUUUCAGGUUAUAAAGCAGUGUGUAAUAAAAGCAAACAUGGAAGGUAGCAUAGAAUAAUACUAGUAUCUAUCACUGAUGCAAAAGAAUCUUUUUACAGUGCCUGCUCUGUGCCAGGCGUGUGUUAUUUAAUACAGCCCUGUGAGGUAAGUGGUCUCGUUUUUCCCAUUUUACAGAUGAGAAACCUGAGGCACAGUGAGGAUCAGGAACUUGCCCAUGGCCCAUGAGCUUGGGGGUCCAGCCCAGGCUGUUUGGUCCCAGAGCCUGUGCUCUUGUCCAUUAUACUGGUGGUAUUGCCCCUGGCAUUGACAAAGUGGGAAAAGAUGACUAACCUGUGUAGGGGGAGUUUAAAUUUGACAUAAAGUGGUGUGGGUAGUUUCUUCCAGCCCCCAUGCCCGUGAGUUUAGCCAGGCCUGUUACCUGCUACCCUCUUCCCCGCCUUCCUCCACCCUGCAGAGGAGCAGAGCGUAGCCUGAGUGCCUGGGCCAGCAGGGUGAGGGAGUGGGCCAGAACCAUGCAGAUGUCAUCCAGGACACCCUCUCGGCCAGUGUCCAUAGCACUCUGACUUCACCAGGGGAGCCCUGCACAGGAGACACUCAGUUUGUUCUCAGAAAUCCAGUAGCUGGGCUGACCCAUCCAUCUGCCCUGGCUCUCAGAAACCAGAAUCACUCAGGCUGAGCCGUGGGUCCUGCAGGUCUUUCCCCUGUGGGAGGCCAGCAUCUUCGCUUGCUCUCUUCUCCACCUGAAGACCAACUGUCAUCUUACCAGCGAGCUCAGCUGCCAGGGUUUGUGGCUGGCGCCAGUCGUAUUGUGGACAUGGGCUUAUGCUGAGCACAGACCAGGUGCUCCUCUGGGAGGAGUGAGACUCACGGGAACACCAUCCUCCGCUUUCUCGUGAGGAGGGUGCCCCCUCCUUGAACUUACCUAAGGGACGAUGGCCAGAGAAUAGUGAAAUGUAUGCAGGUGCCACUGCUUAGUUCCUGAGAACUGUUUAGCUGUCAUUUUUUUGCCCUUAAAUAUGCCUUUUUUUAAAGCACAUUUCACUGAUUUCAUGUGAAUCUAGGGUAAAAAUGGAGUAGUAAGACCAGGCGGUGAGAGAGUGGGCUUCCGUCCACUUCAGGGCGGAAGCUGGUUAGUCCACGUGUCGGUCCUUCUGGGACCCUGCCACACAGGUGUCCCCACACCAAGGCUGGCAGAAGGAGGUUUAAAUGACCACAGGCUUCGGAUAUCAGAAAGGCAGCUGGAAAUGACACUGAGGAACAGAUGGGCUAUAACAGCUGCCCUUGCCACUUGGCUCUACAUCCUCCUGGCUCCGAGCAGGCCCACCGUUGCUUUUCCUCCAGUAGAUGGUGGGCCACGGGAUAGAGCCAGAACAGAAGACUCGUCCCCCUCCACUCUUGUCUCUGGCAAAUCCACCAGCUGGGAGGACCACCUUUCCUCCCUCCUGCCUCUGUGCGUGUGCGUGCACUCCAUGUCGACAGCCACAGGUUUCUGCUGCAGCAGCCUCUUCCCCUGAAUAGGACUGGGAUUAAGCCCCAGCAGCUGGUGCACCCCACUCAGAGCACGGUUAAGGCAGCUGCCCAAACCUCUCCUCGGCUUUCUCAGGGCCUUUAUUCGUUCAGGCUUUCUGGAAGUCAGCUGGCGGAGGUGAAGAUGGCUUGGGCGCCCCU
rnacentral:lncRNA from 1 species